rnacentral:rRNA from 1 species
UACGAAGGUGGCAAGCGUUGUUCGGAUUUACUGGGCGUACAGGGAGCGUAGGCGGUUGGGUAAGCCCUUCGUGAAAUCUCCGGGCCUAACCCGGAAAGUGCGGAGGGGACUGCUCGGCUAGAGGAUGGGAGAGGAGCGCGGAAUUCCCGGUGUAGCGGUGAAAUGCGUAGAUAUCAGGAGGAACACCUGUGGUGUAGACAGCUUACUGGACCACUUCUGACGCUGAGACACGAAAGCGUGGGUAGCAAACAGG